ACAUGUGCUGAUACAGUGUUUCUCUCAUGUGGACCCAGUGCUGGGAAAAUGAUGUAAUGGUGCAAUGAGUGUAAUUCCGGUUUUGAGUACUCUGGUGGUGCCAACAGCUAUUGGUUCAACUCCACAACCAAAUCUUGCAUCAGAUUCACCUACUUUCACAUACACAACAGAGGUAACAUCUCCUCAAGAUGCUGUUUCAACGUCAGAGCCUGCUCCUGAGGUUACAGAAGCAGCUGCCACGACAGAAGAAGUGCCAAUGGUUUCCACAACAGCACCAGUGAUACAGUCAGAAGCCCCAUUCGAAACAACAGCCCUAACAGAUACAACACAAUCAACAGAAGCUGUACCUAUAGAGACAACCAGCCCUGAAGCCACUACUGUCUUUGCAGAAGCAGAAAUGCCUGAGAAAGUUGAAGACAUAGAAUCAAAGACUGCAGAUGAAGAGGUGGAGGAUGAAGGUAUGGGCACAGGACAGUUGGUGGGGAUCGUAAUCGGUGCAUUGAUCACAGUGAUUGUUGUCAUUGCUGUAAUCAUCUUGUUGGUCAGAAGAAUGGGCCAAUACUCGUAAGUACAAGAAA
ensembl:lncRNA